GCAAAACCACCAGUGUUGAUUUUACAGAGUUCGCUACUCUAGAGUGGUCAGGUGUUAGUUGUAGUGUUCGUUUAUAAUGUAUCAUCACUCACAGUGUCAGAAACUUCCACAAGGGGGUGUUGCUUUCCAGUGUUCCAAUAAUUACGUUUGCGGGGAGUUAAGAUUCACGCCACGCCCCUUCUUUCUGAAGCGGGAAAGUCAGUUACUCAGCAUCGACCGACCUGGACUCACGUUACUGAGGUAAGUCAAAUAAGUUAAAUAUGAUGGUGAUAAAUGUAUAAUAAACUGCAAAUAAUCCGUGUAGGUUUGUUAAAUCGUUAAUAUUUUGGUGAGUGACCGCAAGGAAAUCUUUAAAAUUGAACUGAAUUUCAAUUUGUAAUUGGCUGACGUUGUUUAAUCGGUUUAACGUUAACGUUACCUCAUGACGGUGCAGUUUUGUUUAAACAAUGCAAUGAGUUUAAUUUUUGAGUGAUUUUGGACAAAUAUGUAACGUUAACCAAUUAUUAUUAAGAGACUAACGUUAUUAAAUGUGCUUUCUUAAUUUUGUAUUGAGGUAACUUACACUACAAUUUGUCUAACAUUACAUAAUUAAUAAAUUCUAUAAUUCUGUAUGUGCUCGACGUAUUUGCAAAACAACGCAAAAAUAGCUAAUUUUGUAUUUACGGGUACAUUUAAACAGUUAAGUUAGUGCAGUUCUUUUACGUUCAGGGUGGCGGUUUCAGAUUAUGGUGUGCGUCAAGCACUGUGGGCAGAGAAACAUGAUGCAAUGCAGGUGUUUGUGGUAUUCAACCUUUAUCACUAACUCCUUAAUUGUACAUUUGUCACAAUAUCUUCAUUUUAGAGACUGUUAAUAAAUUAGACUUUGGGGGUUAUUUUCGCUGUUUAAAUGUAAUUAAAUUGUGAAUGUUAGUUAUUUCUGCUUGUUACACGCGGUGUGGUAAAUGGCUGUUUCAUUCACUUCGUGAGAGAAAAUGAUUUGCUUGUUUUUCCGCCUAAUGUAACUUGUCUUAAAAUGUAGCAUUUUAAAUGUGUGCUGCUUCUUUCAGAGUUCACACACGGGUAUGUCUGCAUUUUGAAGGGAGUAGGGCAUAGGGAUGGUGACUAACGAUUGGAAUUCGCCCUAAUAGUGACGGAUAGCUGGAAUUGGAUUUGAUUGGUUGAACCGCGUUCAAAGCUGUUCACGCGCGUCUGACCUACGUAUGACGACGCAUGACCACGCGCGAUUUGAAUGCACACCUUUACAGAAGGUUUGGAACAUGCUGCUGAAGUUGGUUACCAGGGCUCCAGGAAAUGUAUCAAACUGCAGGAUUGAUUUAUUUUUGCUCAUUAGUGAAGGUGAUUUUUUUUCACUGUUCAUUUAUUUGUUGCUUCCUUACAUAUAUAAAUUUGUGUUUUGUCAUAGGUGGUAAGCCAAACUGACUGUGGACUAACGUAUGCAUUGUUGAUGACACUGAAAUCGAGGAAGACAUUUUGCAAGAUGUGCUGCUUACAGCUAGAGGACAAAAUGAAGAUGCAACAAGCAGCUUCUGCCACUGUCAUUUACCAUCUGAACUUGACCAAAGUCGUUCCAAGAAAUCUAAGACAACAGAUGACUCCAUGACCGAGGAAGACUCCUACAAGGAACCAGUGAGAGCAUCAUAGACUGUGAUAGUGACAUGGCAACACUGCUUUUACUGCUCCAUCUCCUUCCACCAUCACCUCAAGGGAAUCAGUGCAUCAGAUUUGCAGUGAGCAGGCUUGUGGUGUAUCAUAAGUCUUGUACCAGCCUUGAAGAACAUCUUCAGCAACGAGUAGGAUGACAACUGUACCUUACUGCUGUUGGCAGGAUCUGCGGCCAGAUUUGAGAACUUUGACGUGGCUUUUGAUAAGAAUCUCACCCCGUCAGUUGGAAGGCUCCCUUUUAGCAUUUGACUUUGUUUUUAAUGUAAUGUAUGAUGAUGGACUCCUUCACUUUCAAAUUUAAUCAAACAACAGUUUACAUGUUGGGAAAACUAGAGAUUGAGAGCUGAGAGCAAACUUUUUUUUAACUAGCUGGUAACUAGUAUGUAGUAUCUCAUUUAAGGUUUCAGCAUGCAUUUUAUCCUUGCCCAAAUUUCAAUUAAUAUGUGCUGAAGAAAAUUGUGAUUACUUUUGUGAUGUAUUGUUUUACAGAAUGUUUAGUGAAAGAUUUGCUGUGAUUUGCCCUAGAUGUGUGUCAGACAUGGAUUUUAACACUUAUUCAGUUUUAUUUAAACUCCUUGGCAAAAUUGAAAGGACUGUAUACAUAACCACUUUCUGAAAAUGUUGAAAAAGUUCACAAGUGAUACUUUAUUUUUUUUUUAUAAAUAUUUAAUAAUGUCAAAUAAAUUUGUUAAAUAAAUUU